rnacentral:rRNA from 1 species
CGAGCGGAACGAUGCCUAGCUUGCUAGGAGGCGUCGAGCGGCGGACGGGUGAGUAAUGCAUAGGAAUCUGCCCGGUAGUGGGGGAUAACCUGGGGAAACCCAGGCUAAUACCGCAUACGCCCUACGGGGGAAAGCAGGGGAUCUUCGGACCUUGCGCUAUCGGAUGAGCCUAUGUCGGAUUAGCUAGUUGGUGAGGUAACGGCUCACCAAGGCUGCGAUCCGUAGCUGGUCUGAGAGGAUGAUCAGCCACAUCGGGACUGAGACACGGCCCGAACUCCUACGGGAGGCAGCAGUGGGGAAUAUUGGACAAUGGGCGAAAGCCUGAUCCAGCCAUGCCGCGUGUGUGAAGAAGGCCUUCGGGUUGUAAAGCACUUUCAGUGAGGAAGAAAGCCUUGAGGUUAAUACCCUCGAGGGAGGACAUCACUCACAGAAGAAGCACCGGCUAACUCCGUGCCAGCAGCCGCGGUAAUACGGAGGGUGCGAGCGUUAAUCGGAAUUACUGGGCGUAAAGCGCGCGUAGGCGGCUUGAUAAGCCGGUUGUGAAAGCCCCGGGCUCAACCUGGGAACGGCAUCCGGAACUGUCAGGCUAGAGUGCAGGAGAGGAAGGUAGAAUUCCCGGUGUAGCGGUGAAAUGCGUACAGAUCGGGAGGAAUACCAGUGGCGAAGGCGGCCUUCUGGACUGACACUGACGCUGAGGUGCGAAAGCGUGGGUAGCAAACAGGAUUAGAUACCCUGGUAGUCCACGCCGUAUACGAUGUCGACUAGCCGUUGGGCUCCUUGAGAGCUUUGUGGCGCA